rnacentral:rRNA from 1 species
CCUACGGGAGGCAGCAGUGGGGAAUUUUGGACAAUGGGCGAAAGCCUGAUCCAGCCAUGCCGCGUGCGGGAAGAAGGCCUUUGGGUUGUAAACCGCUUUUGUCAGGGAAGAAAUCUUCUGGGCUAAUACCUCGGGAGGAUGACGGUACCUGAAGAAUAAGCACCGGCUAACUACGUGCCAGCAGCCGCGGUAAU